CUUAGUGACGGACGGGUGAGUAACGCGUGGGUAACCUGCCUUACACUGGGGGAUAACACUUAGAAAUAGGUGCUAAUACCGCAUAAGCGCACGAAGCCGCAUGGAUUUGUGUGAAAAACUCCGGUGGUGUAAGAUGGACCCGCGUCUGAUUAGCUUGUUGGCGGGGUAACGGCCCACCAAGGCGACGAUCAGUAGCCGGCCUGAGAGGGUGGACGGCCACAUUGGGACUGAGACACGGCCCAAACUCCUACGGGAGGCAGCAG
rnacentral:rRNA from 1 species